GACGAACGCUGGCUGCGUGCUUACACAUGCAAGUCGAACGCUGAAGCCCCAGCUUGCUGGGGUGGAUGAGUGGCGAACGGGUGAGUAACACGUGAGUAACCUGCCCCUGACUUCGGGAUAAGCCCGGGAAACUGGGUCUAAUACCGGAUACGACUAUCGGACGCAUGUCUGGUGGUGGAAAGUUUUUUCGGUUGGGGAUGGGCUCGCGGACUAUCAGUUUGUUGGGGAGGUAAUGGCUCACCAAGACGACGACGGGUAGCCGGCCUGAGAGGGCGACCGGCCACACUGGGACUGAGACAAGGCCCAGACUCCGACGGGAGGCAGCAGUGGGGAAUAUUGCACAAUGGGGGAAACCCUGAUGCAGCGACGCAGCGUGCGGGAUGACGGCCUUCGGGUUGUAAACCGCUUUCAGCAGGGAAGAAGCCUUCGGGUGACGGUACCUGCAGAAGAAGUACCGGCUAACUACGUG
rnacentral:rRNA from 1 species